rnacentral:rRNA from 1 species
CCUACGGGAGGCUGCAGUGAGGAAUAUUGGUCAAUGGACGAGAGUCUGAACCAGCCAAGUAGCGUGAAGGAUGACUGCCCUAUGGGUUGUAAACUUCUUUUAUAUGGGAAUAAAACGUUCCACGUGUGGGAUUUUGUAUGUACCAUAUGAAUAAGGAUCGGUUAACUCCGUGCCAGCAGCCGCGGUAAUACGGAGGAUCCGAGCGUUAUCCGGAUUUAUUGGGUUUAAAGGGAGCGUAGGUGGAUUGUUAAGUCAGUUGUGAAAGUUUGCGGCUCAACCGUAAAAUUGCAGUUGAAACUGGCAGUCUUGAGUACAGUAGAGGUGGGCGGAAUUCGUGGUGUAGCGGUGAAAUGCUUAGAUAUCACGAAGAACUCCGAUUGCGAAGGCAGUUCACUGGACUGCAACUGACACUGAGGCUCGAAAGUGUGGGUAUCAAACAGGAUUAGAUACCCUUGUAGUC